AUUAAUGGUUGUGGUAACAUUCACCUUCAACCUUCAUUUCCUUUAAAAAAUGUGCUUCAUGUUCCCAAACUAUCCAAUAACCUCUUGUCUAUUCAAAAGAUUACCCAAGAUUUAAAUUGUGCAGUGGUAUUUUUCCCUUCCCAUUGUGUUUUUCAGGAUCUUGCCACGGGGAAGACUAUUGGAAUUGCUAAAGAGCAAGGCGGGUUAUAUUAUUUACAACAUGAAGAAAGUAAAAAGGGUGCUAGACUACAGGCACACACUUCUAAUUUUCAGCAAGGUCGUGAAUCUUGGUCAUCCUCUCAGAUAUGGCUUCAACACAGACGUCUUGGUCAUCCUCCAUUUAGUACCCUAAAGUCCUUAUUUCCUGUUUUAUUUACAAAAGUGUCUGCUGAGUCAUUUCAUUGUGAUGUUUGUCAGUUUGCUAAACACCAUCGGACAACUUUUCCUCCCAAUGGUAAUAAAAGUUCUAAACCUUUUGAUCUUAUUCAUUCAGAUGUAUGGGGACCUUCACCUAUUCCUAAUAUCUCGGGUGCAAAAUGGUUUGUUUCAUUUAUUGAUGAUUGUACUCGGGUUACUUGGAUAUUCCUCAUGAAAGAUAAGUCUGAAGUUUUUCACUUGUUUGUAAAGUUUUAUAGAAUGAUUCAAACACAAUUUGAAAGUCCAAUUAAGAGAUUGCGUUCUGAUAAUGGAAGAGAAUAUGUGAACCAAAACCUUUCCAAGUUCCUUGAGGAAAAUGGAGUUGUUCAUGAAUUAACCUGUGUGGACACUCCUCAACAAAAUGGGGUUGCUGAAAGGAAAAAUCGUCAUCUCCUUGAGGUUACUCGAGCUUUACUUUUCCAAACAUCUGUUCCUAGAUCUUACUGGGGGAAGCAGUCCUGACUGCCACUUAUUUGAUUAAUAGAUUACCCUCUGGGGUUUUAGAGGGUGUUACUCCUAUUCAGGUUAUGACCACAUUCUAUCCUUCUAUUCCCAUGUUGAAUAGUCUUUAGAAUCGUGUAUUUGGUUGUCCUGCUUUUGUCCAUGUUCAUAGUCCUUAUCGGGGUAAGUUAGAUCCUCGUGCCAUCAAAUGUGUCUUCAUCGGUUAUGCCCCCAACAAAAAGGGAUACAAAUGUUAUCAUCCUCAAAGUCGCAAAGUGUAUAUUUCCAAAGAUGUCACCUUCCAUGAAACAGAAUCUUUCUUUCCUAAUUCUCAGCUUCAGGGGGAGAGUAUUCAAGAAGCUGAGGACCUUGAGUUGCCACCUUUUCCUUUGUUGCAGGAUUUCGUUCUUAGGGAGGAUGACAAAGACCCUGCACCAACAUCAUUACCAGAGAAGAAUAAUGAAGACAAAUAUUUUGGAAAACAAUAUUAGCGAAGGCAACAAGAACCCGUCCUGGUCGAACAACAACUUCAAUUGUCUGAACCGGAGGUAAGAACUCAUACCAGUGAGACUCUUGAGGACACCUUAAAUACUGCUUUUGAACCUAACCUAAAUGAUUUACCUAUUACCUUGAGAAAAGAAAAAAGAUCUUGUGCCAAAUAUCCUAUAUCCCAAUUUGUGUCUACAGAAAAACUUUCUAUGCAGCACCAGAGUUUUCUUUCAGCUAUUGAUUCUAUCAAAAUCCCUUCAUCGGUACAAGAAGCCUUAAAAGAUGAGAACUGGAUUCGAGCCAUGAAUGAAGAAAUGAGCGCAUUAGAAAGGAAUGAGACUUGGGAGAUUGUAGAGAGACCAAAAGAUAAGAAAGCAGUGGGUUGUAGGUGGAUAUACACAGUUAAGUAUAAGUCUGAUGGCACACUCGAUCGGUAUAAAGCAAGGNNNNNNNNNNNNNNNNNNNNNNNNNNNNNNNNNNNNNNNNNNNNNNNNNNNNNNNNNNNNNNNNNNNNNNNNNNNNNNNNNNNNNNNNNNNNNNNNNNNNNNNNNNNNNNNNNNNNNNNNNNNNNNNNNNNNNNNNNNNNNNNNNNNNNNNNNNNNNNNNNNNNNNNNNNNNNNNNNNNNNNNNNNNNNNNNNNNNNNNNNNNNNNNNNNNNNNNNNNNNNNNNNNNNNNNNNNNNNNNNNNNNNNNNNNNNNNNNNNNNNNNNNNNNNNNNNNNNNNNNNNNNNNNNNNNNNNNNNNNNNNNNNNNNNNNNNNNNNNNNNNNNNNNNNNNNNNNNNNNNNNNNGUUUAUAAAACAUUCUCAGAAUGGUAAACUCACUCUACUUUUGGUCUAUGUAGAUGAUAUGAUUAUUACAGGUGAUGAUGAGAUUGAAAAACAAAAUUUGAGGGAGAGACUAGCUGCUCAAUUUGAAAUGAAGGAUCUUGGGAAGCUGAAGUACUUCCUUGGGAUAGAGGUUGCUUACUCGAGACAGGGCAUCUUUAUUUCUCAAAGGAAAUACAUCCUUGAUCUUCUCAAAGAGAUUGGUAAGUUGUAAGCCCACUGGAGUGCCAAUAGAGCAAAAUCAUAGGAUUGGGAAUGAUGAGGAAAACCCAAAAGUGGAGAAGACACAAUAUCAAAGACUUGUGGGAAAACUCAUUUAUCUUUCACACACUAGGCCAGAUAUAGCCUAUGCAGUUAGUGUGGUUAGUCAAUUUAUGCAUGAUCCACGAGAAAGACACUUGCAGGCAGUAGAUAAAAUUAUUCAGUACUUAAAAGCCUCUCCAGGAAAAGGAUUGCUAUUCAAAAAGGGGGAAAACUUAUCCAUGAAAGUAUAUACUGAUGCUGACUAUGCAGGAUCGAUUGUUGAUAGGAGAUCCACCACAGGCUACUGCAUGUUCUUGGGUGGAAAUCAUCAAGUGCAGAGACAGAAUUUAGAGCCAUGGCUCAAGGGGUGUGUGAACUCUUAUGGAUGAAGAUCAUACUUGAUGACCUAAAAAUAAAAUAUGAAGCUCCUAUGGGUUUGGCAUGUGAUAAUAAGUCCGCUAUCAGUAUUGCACACAAUCCGGUUCAACAUGAUCGAACAAAGCACGUAGAGAUAGACCGACACUUUAUUAAAGAGAAGUUGGAUUAUGGUCUUAUAGCCACUGAGUACAUCCCUUCAAGACUCCAAUUGGCAAAUAUGUUUACUAAGGGACUUUCCACAAAACAAUUCGAAGAUCUUACUUGCAAGUUGAGAAUGAUAGAUAUACAUUCACCAACUUGAGGGGGAGUGUUGCAUAAUCAGGAGAAUUAUGUUAUAAUUAAGUGCAGAUUCCAUUUUAUAUUUAUUAGGACAGAUUUGUUAGUGAUUUGAUUUUAUUUGAUUUGUACAGCUUUAAACACUCAUUAUUUAUGGCUUUCAUUACCUAUUAUUUCUUUCUUUAAUUAGGUUGUAAAAUAGUCUAUAAAUAGAAACUGUAAUCACAUUUGUAAGAUAUAUCAGAAAUAUAUUUCAUCUAUUUUUUUCCACUCUAUUAUUUCUUGCUUUCAAUACCUAGUAUUUCUUUCCUCUUAAUUAGGUUGUAAAUAGUUUAUAAAUUGAUAUUGUAAUCGCAUUUGUAAAGAGAUCUCAGAAAUACAUUUCAUCUACAGAAAUAAAUGUCAAACACAAAUUCCAAAAGCCUCCUCUUUGAUUGUUGUUGUUAUAAAAACCAAUUGGAGAGAUGCAUUUUUAUCUUCCUCAGCUACAAGUCCAGAGCUUUAUAUUGUUUGAUUUUAAAAAUUGAUUUGAGCUGUCAUGGGUAUGAUGCAGGCUCAAGGCUGGAAAGCAAAGUCAAAAACUUUGGAAGAAGUUCUGGAAUCAACUUCUAAAAUGGAACCAAAACUUAUUGGCUAUGAUGAAACUCCCAUUGAUGUCACAGAUACCAAUACUGCCAAGCAUAUAAUGGUAACUGCAGACUUGUACAGCAAAUCAAACCCAGAAAUUCUCAUCCAAGAUACAGCUGAAAUAUGUUCUCCAUGUGUGAAACCUGUUGGCCAACGGCUUCAAUCUUCUACGAGGGGAAAGCUCAGUGAAAUAUUUGAAAAUCAUUGCGGCAGUGACUCAUCAGGGGCAGGUAGUGUAAAAUCAUAGUAUUCACACAUUGACCCCAUGUCUUGUUAAUCCUAAAUAUUUUUUAUAUUCUUUGCAAAAAGGAACGGCAAGAUCACGACUGUAUGAAUUGUGUGCUUCUUAUUGUUGGAAACCCCCUUCAUUUGAAUGCUGCAAAGAAGAGGGACCAGAUCACCUCAAACAGUGAGUUCCUUGUGAUUUUUUUGUUUACCCACAAAUUAUUUUAGCCUGUGAUGAAACUGGGAUAGUGAUAGGACAUUCGAUGUUUAAAUUGCAACAUCCUCCUCCCUAAUUUUCAUAUACCCUUCUCCUAAUUUUCACUGUUGGGAUAGUGAUAGGUCUUGAGAAGUAGCUAUCAACUAUAACUAGAACCAUAGAUAAGACAUCAGAAAAAUAUUCCUAACAAUACCUUAAAUUAUUGUUCCAUUUUUAGAUUCACAUGCAAGGUGACCCUGGAGAUAGAAGAGGCCCUUGAUACGAUUUUAGAGUUUGUUGGGGAACCUCAGUCAAAAAAGAAAGAUGCUGCAGAGAGUGCAGCUGAGGGUGCAUGUUGGUACCUGCAACAGGAAGGCUACUUGCGUAGUGAUAGUUGACAUGUUGCAGAACAACUAUCAUGUCGCAUAAGUCUGAGGUCAUUUCAUUCUAGUUAGUGUCUUCAUUAUUGAGGGUAUCAUUUCCAAUUUCUGAAUGCUCUCAUUGUUUAGGUAAUCAAAAUUAUAUUAUAUAUUAUAUAUGUAUUGUUGUAGUCUGAUAGUUACAUCUUUAACUUGUAUGUAAACUGCACCUCAAAUAUAGUAGUGAAUUUUUAGCAAUCUAGAAUAUUAAUUAUAGUUUCUCGGUUAUAAAUUGUACGUUGUGGGAGACCAAAUGUAACCUUCCACAUUAUAUAUUCCCUAGUUAGAAGAGAAAACGAUCUUAAUUAUACAAUUCAGGAAAGACAUGCCAUUCAUUGCACACAAUAUCCAUUCCACCCUGUCACUUUUAAUAUUACCAUUUCUCGUGAUUGUGAAAUAUGACUAGUGUGAUUAGUAUGUGUUUUUCUUUUAACUUUUAAGUGUUUAUUUAUAUUUCAAUUAAGAAAUUAAGUUGAGUUCAACUUAACUCAAGUUAACAAAAAAAUUAUCAUAAUUUAUAAGUCAACUGAAAAUUGAAUUGAAUUUAGUUUCAAACUGAAUCCAAAAAAAAGUGUGAAUACAUGUUGAAAUAACGGCCAAUCGAAAUAUUUGCUUUGUUUAUCAUUCAAAUAGACCGUUAUUCCAACAUGUUGAAAUAACGGCCAAUUUGUCUAUAAGAGUGUAACUUUACAUAGACCAAGUCCCCAAUUGAAACUGUCAGUCCUAUGUUUGUCUGUUGUCUGCUUCAUUCUAUCUUGAACUCUUCUUAAAUGGAACUUGGGAACUUUUAACAUUUCUUCUCUUUUCACUACAAUUCUAUCUACUGAAUCUAGCUUGGAUUUCCCUAGUAAGUAAGGCAAAUAAAGAGAAGGAGGUUUUCCAUAAACAACUUCAUAAGGAGUGGCUUGUAUAGAAGUAUGGAAGGUAGUGUUGUACCACCAUUCAGCCAAGGGAAGCCAUUUGUACCAUUGUUACCUUAAGUACAUUUUAAGGCAUCUGUUGUUGACAACCUCAGAAUGUUCAUCAAUCUGAGGUGCUAUGAUGUAGACAACUGAAUCUGAACCCCUUGUAAACUCAUGGAUUCUCUCCAAAAUUGGCUCGUGAAGACAACAUCUCUUUCACUAGUGAUAGGAUUUGGAAACCCGUGUAAUAUGAAGAUAUUAUCUAUGAAAGACUGGGCUACUUCAACAGCUGUAUAUGGAUGAGAUAAGCCAUGAAAUGUGCAGCUUUACUCAAUCUAUCUACAACCACAAAAAUAACCUUUUUGCCAUAAGAGAUUGGUAAUCCCUUGUGAUGUGCUACCACACAUGACCAGGGAUUGGGAGAUGCUGUACCAGACCAGGGGAAGCUGCAUUAUCAUACUUAACACUGUUGGCAAGUGGCACAUUGUUGAACAAACAGUUGAACAUCCUUAUGCAUUCCCUUCCAAUAUACUACAACUCUGAGACGUCCUCCAAUUGCAGAAGCAUGUAUCCCAAUGGAGGAUAUCUUUUCUUAAGGUCUGAUCACUCAUUAUAACCAAUCUCCCCUUCCUUCGUAAUUCACCAUUAACCCAAGUGUGAUAUUUAUAAGAUGAAGGAUCAUUCACAAUCUCACAAAUCAGUCUCUGUUGGACAAGAUCUGAGGACCAUAACUACUGGAUUUUGGUCAAUAAAUCAGCUGUAAUUAACAAUUAACUAAAGCAUGACAUUCUACUAAAUCCAAUCUAGAGAGUGCAUUGUCCACUACAUACUCUUUCCUUUGUUUGUACUCAAUAGAAAAAUCAAAUUCCAGGAGUUAACUAACCAUUUUUGUUGAAAAACCAUGGAUAACCUUUGGUCCAAUAUGUAUCUCAGGUUGCUGUGAUUUAUUAUAAUAAUGAAGUGUAUUUAACAAGUAAUGUCUCCAUUUCUAGACUGCAAACACGACGACAAUGAGCUCUUUUUCAUAUGUUGAGAGGGUCUGUUGUUGUUUAUUGAGGGAACUACUUAUAUCAGCAAUAGGAGGGUUCUCUUGCAUUAACAUUGCUCCAAUGCCAAAACCUGAAUCCACUUCAAUUACAAACUUUUUACUGAAAUUGAGUAAUGCUAACACAAGGAUAGAAUACAACAAUUGCUUGAGAUGCUGGAAGGCUAAUUUGGCCUCAUGUGUUCAAGAAAAUUAUCCUCUUUAUGGACAAACCUUCUAUAAUAGCCAACUAACCCAAGGAAGCCUGAGUUGUUUUACUGAUUGAGGCAGUGGCCAAUUAACCGUAGCUUCUAUCUUAGCAGGAUCAUUGGAAACACCAUCCCCACUUAUGAAAUGACCUAGGUAUUCUACCUUUCCAACAACAAAGUGACAUUUCGAUCUUUUUUAGCAAACAAUGAAGUAAAUGUAUCACAUGAUCAUAUAAAGACUUACUACAAAUGAGUAUAUCGUAAAAAACACACCAGGAACUUCAUCAAAAUUUGCUUGAAAAUGUCAUUCUUAAGGCCUUGAAAAGUGCCAGGAGCAUUUGUAAUUCUAAAUGGCAUGACCAAAUACUCGUAGUGGCCUCCAUGUGUCCUAAAUGUUGUCUUACAUCACAAUUUGCCAUUCUUACUUGAUUAUAACCAACUCUCAAAUCUAUUUUUGAAAACAUUGUAGAAUAUUGCAACUCAACUAAUAAGUCAUUCACCAAAGAAAUAGGAAAUUUAUUCUUGAUUGUAGCUUUAUUCAAAUCUCUAUAAUCCGCAAACAAUCUCCAAGAACUGUCUUUCUUUCCAACCAACACUACCGGACUCGAACUUGCAUAAGGGCUGGUGAUGUGUUGUAUAACUCUAGUCUUUAAAUAUUCCUGAAUCAAACCCUCUAUUGUGUCCUUCUGUUGCUUUGCAUACCUGUAGGGUGUGCACAGAAUUAGCUCCCAAUGGGAUUAUGUGAUCAUGAUUAGGCCUAGAAGGAGGAAGUUGUGUGGGCUCAUGCAAAAUGACUUGUGGAAAUAGCUGGUUAAGUAGCAUGUGUAGUCAUAAAUUGAAGCAAAUAAUUAUCUUCAUAACAUACUUGAAGCAUAGUAAGUUGUACUCCUUCAUACAUAGUUCUAUUUACUUGCUACCUUUAAUAGUACGAAGGCUAUUGGAGGAUGACCCUUGAAGGAGAUGUCUUCUGCCUUGUACCAUAAACUCCAUUGUCAAUUUAUCAAAAUUCCAAGUAAUGUUACCCAAUGUAACCAACCAUUCUAUGCCAGGCACGAAAUCACAACAACCUAAAUGUAUAAGCAGCAUAUAAAUGAAAGUAGUAUGUUGGAUUGUCCAUGAAAAAUCCUUUACUACAGAAGAAAUAUGCAAUUUAGUACCAUUUGCAACUAUCACAUUCAAAGGAUCCAACCUCACAAUCUUGCAACCAAAUUUCUUGGCUACAUUAUUAUUCAAGAAAUUGUGUGUACUUCCACUAUCUAUCGACACAUGAAGAGGCUUCUUUUUAUGAUAACCAGUAAUUCCCAUGGUUCUAAAAUUGGCAACUCCUGUUAAAGCAUUCAUGGAAAUUUGAGGUUCCUUCGUAUCUACUUCUUUAGCUUGUGUAUCACUAUCAAGUGUUGAUACUUCGUCAUCACAAUCAUUAGUUUCUACAACAUGUGUAUGUAAUUUCUUAUGAGUCAAACUAUGAGAUUGAGUAAAAGGCUCAUCACAAAAGUAACAAAGACCAUUAGCUUUUCUUUCAACCAUAUAUGCAGGGGUAAGGUUCUUGGUAAUCUUGGGUGUUAUCUUGAAAUUGUCUACCCCUGAAGUAAUUAGAGAUACCGGUUUUUCUCCGAAUAAGGAUUUUGGAUUAAAAAGAUUUUAUUGUUUAGUGGAAGGAGUGGCUGCCGAAAAUUGACAAUUAGCAGCUUCAUACAUUUUUGUCAAAGUAAAUGCCCUUCUAACAAAAUCUGUUUGAAACAUCCUCACCAACAUUUGAAUGUCUUUCUUUAAUCCUACCAAAAAACAACUCAGUGUGCUCUUCUAAAAGCUGUAGUCUAGUAAUAAUAGCAUCGAAAUCCUCAUGGUAUUUCUCAAUACUAGUUGUUUUUCUCGACUUUAUUAAUUCAACCAUUGGAUCAUCACAUACUGCACCGAAUCUCUCAAUCAACAAUUCACUGUACCCAACCCAAUUAUGAAUAGGCAAAUUACCCGCAGACCUGACGAAUGUCGCAUGCCAUUUAUUACUAUCUUGACAUCAACAUCGUUAGGAGUAUUAUCAAUAGAAAAAUAAUUCUCAGCUUGAUAGAAAAAUAAUGUCAUAUUGCACAUUAUCACCGCAAAAUUUUGGAACUCGAUUCUGGCUACCCUCGUUUCGUAAGAAUAUUGUGGAGUAAAAAAAGCCUUUAAUUUGAUUCUGGUAAGUGUCCCCAGAAUAAGGAUUAUGACCAUCAUCACCUUCUUGAGAAAUUUUGAGCCUUUCUUCAAUGCUGUUCUUCAAAGAUUCAUCCAGCGCCUUUUGAAUGUUCCCCGUAACCUCCAUCAAACGAUCCUCUUAUCUCCUUCAGUGCUGCCUAGCUUCUGCUAUUUUCCGUCAUGGAGAAGGAUGGAUAAAGGAAGGAACAGAUUUUGAUACCAAUUGAUAAGAGAAGAAAUAAUUCUAGGAAUUUAAAAAAUAAAAAUUCAAGAACUAGAUGAAAAUUAGGGAAUCUUGAAUAAGAGGUCCCGAAGAAUUUCAUUGAUAAGAAUUUGUAAACAAAAAAAUGAUUAUCUACUUAUGUAGAACAGACACUAAAGGAGAUAUGUAAAAUCUCUAAAAUGUAAGACACAGGGGACAACGAAACUAUAUAUUAUAUAAUUAUGAAUUAUAUAAAUUGACAAUAAAUAUUUAUAUGUACAAGUAUGUUUCAGAUUAUUUUUUUGAGUAAAAAGAUGUUUUUCAUGACUGGUUUACAAUAAUUUGUUUCUUAGUUUUAUAAUCAUAAUAACAAUUUAUACAAUAAAGUUUGAAUUUUUUGAGAAAAUUAAUGUAUUUUUCUUUUUAAAAAUUGUGUUAGAACCGCACUAUAAUUGUCAAAAAUCUAACAAAUACUUAUUGAAUUUGACACUUCACGGAUACGUGUCCUACAGGUGUCAUACGAGUGUUGAUGUCCAACACGAGUAUCAGACACCGACACGGCAUUUAAGAGGAGUGUCCGAGCUUCAUAGUUAUUUACCCUAAAAAAAGGUGAACUUUUCCCUUUUAUAAUCGAUGUUAAUUAUUAACUUUUCAUUCACAUUCAAUUUUUCAAUUAUUAAUUAAUUAUCAAUACUUUUAUUGUUAUUUAAUUUGUUUUAUGUUUGUUCAUUUAUACAUUUUAAUAUAUAUUUACGAAAUAAUCUUAAUUUUAGAGAUAAUUGUUUACCCUCAAAAUUAUUUCUUUUGUAUAUUGAGAUUUAGCAUGUCUCAAAAUGAUAUCUUUUAUUAACUUUGAUAUUUUCAUCAAUUUUGUGAGUGGUGGUAUUUCUUUUAUAUUAAUAAUAUUAUAUUUUUUCACAAUCCAAAAUUUUGUUAAGUAAACGAGUUCGAUAAGUAGAAUUAAUCUGUCAAUGUUAAUAUUAAAUUUUAUAAUACGACAAUUUAUAAAUAUAUCUUCAGUCACUAUACUUUUUUUUUCUUUCUAAAUUAGUAUACGUUAAUAAUGAUAUAACUUAAUUCAUAUUUGUUUUCUGCUUAUGUUUUGGACAAAUUUCGUCAAUAUAUCAUAGAUUAUAAUUUAUAAUACAAAGAUUCUAAUUACAUCUUUAGUUUUAUUUUAAAAAAUUAUUCAAUAUUUUUCAACCACUUAAAACAAUAGUGUGAAUAUUUUAAUUUUUAAAAUGGUUGGUAAGAUAACCUAUAUUUAAAUAUAUUUUUAACCUUUGAUGUUUGUGACUAUAUUAUUACAAUUUCCCAAUUUUUUCUUCUAAAGACAUGCUAAAAGUGUAGUAAUUAUUUUUUAAAACAAUUAUUUGUUUAAUUUAUUAAGAAACUAUACAUUUCUUUAACUGAUUUUUCUGCCAAACUAAUGAUUUUUUGUAGUUACUUCAGAAGAAAAUGAAAAAUAUAUUUUAAGAUCUGAAUUUUUUCUUUUUGUUUAAUUUAUUAAGUGAUUAAAAGAAUAAUUAUUUAAUUCAUGUACCAAUUAUUAUAAACUGUUAGAUAUACUAAUUUUCAUGUCAUGAUAACUAUAUAUAUAUAUAUUAUUUUAUUAAAAUAUUUAUUUAGAUUAAAGUUACUAACAUCACAUAUUAAAACAAAAGAUUGAGAUAAUAUACUAUAUUGGUUAAGGAGUAAAGAUCAAAUAAGAAUAUUUUUUAUAUUGUUAUAAUUAUAAAUUUUAAAUUAGACAAUCGCGUCUCAUCCUAAUAUUUUAGGAUGGACUUAUGUUUAAUAUUUUUUUUAUUUAAUAUAUAAUACACUAUAUUAUAUAAAUAAUGUAAAUAUUUAUGUCAUGGAAAUAUCUUAAUUUUAAUUAAACGCUAAUAAUACAUAAUGUUUAGGCUCAACCCUAUACAUGAGCCACGUGCGAGCACCAGUGUUACCCGCGAACACUUUCCCGCCAAUAGUUUCCCGCCAAAAGCACCCUUCUUCUUGGUCUCUUUCUAUCUUCACUCUGUCUUUCUCUCUUCAAUCCAACGGAAACCAAACCCUAACGCGCCUCAGAGUUUGAGCGAAGAUGUCUGGGUGGGACGAAGGAGCCGUCUACUACAGCGACCAAGCGCUCGCCGGAGAUGACGGCGCCGGCUCCCGAGGGGAGGCCGGCACCGAUUCGAACCACUCCCUCCUCCAGAAAUUCAAGGAGUUCAUCCGAAACUUCGAGACCGCCAACAACGUCUUCCCUUACAGAGAGAGCCUCCUCCACAACCCUAAGUUCCUUCUCGUCGACAUGGGAGAUCUCGACACCUUCGACUCCGAUCUUCCCGCCAAACUCCGCUCUUCCCCCGCCGAUAUUUUGCCCCUGGUACUCUCAGUUUCUCCAUCUCUCUCCUCAACGCUGUCAUUUCCGAUUCUGACAUUCUUUCUUGCUUUUGUAGUUCGAAACGGCGGCGGCGCAGGUUCUCGUGAGUUUGAAGACCAAGGUUGCAGGAGAUACUGGAGCUAUGGAGGAUCCUAUUCCCGGUGAUGUUCAGAUUUUGCUCACCUCCAAGGAAGAUCCCCUUUCCAUGAGAUCGCUUGGGGUAUGUGGAUUUAGUUUAAUGCAGUUACAGUUUUAAUUUUGUGCUUAUGAUGCUUUUGGUUGAAAUACGGGUAUUUUGUUGUUGUGCAGCGUUGAAUUGGUGGGUAUCAUAAUGUUUUUUUCUUUCCACAGGCUCAGUACAUAUCGAAACUUGUUAAAAUCUCUGGGAUUACUAUUGCUGCCUCCAGGACUAAGGCAAAGGCCACUUAUGUUACCCUGAUAUGUAAAAACUGUAAGAAGGGGAAGCAGGUUCCAUGUCGGCCAGGACUUGGGGGAGCCAUUGUUCCUCGAUCUUGUGAUCAUGUUCCUCAGGUUUUGUUCGUGUUUAUAUUCACUGUCUUUGUUUGUUUGGUGUUUUACGCUUAUGAUUGAUUUACUUACGGACAAGGGGCUUUUGCAGCCUGGAGAAGAGCCUUGCCCAAUUGAUCCCUGGCUUGUGGUCCCUGACAAGAGCAAAUAUGUUGACCAGCAAACUUUGAAGCUGCAGGAAAAUCCAGAGGUAGUGAUAUACAUUUGUUUAAAAAUAAAUUAAAUUCACUCUGAAAUCUAAUCAUAUGCGGUGUUGUGAUCAUUGAAGGACGUUCCAACUGGAGAGCUUCCUAGAAACCUACUUCUCUCUGUUGAUCGUCAUCUGGUUCAGACAGUAGUACCUGGCUCAAGAUUGACAAUCAUGGGAAUUUAUAGUGUCUACCAGGCUUCUAACGCUUCUUCAUCGUGAGAUUCAUCACUCGUUUUUGCUCAUUUAAUUUGUUUCAAUCUCUCAUCUUGAACUGAUGUCUGGCUUGAAAUGUUGUGUUAUAUGCAGCCACAAAGGAGCUGUUGCAGUUAGACAGCCUUAUAUUAGGGUUGUAGGCAUAGAAGAAACAAAUGACACCCAGUCUCGGGGUCCAGCUGCAUUUACACAAGAUGAGGUUAGUGGUGAAACCUGAAACAAUUAUAAAUUGACUGCCUCUUCCCUGCUUUACAUGGCUUGUCAGUUGGCGGGCUCCUGUGCAGCAGCAUACCCCGGACCCUGAGUUUGUGGGGGAAAAUUAUAGAUACUGAAUUCAGUGGGUUCAAAUAUAUAAAAAUAGAGGGGAUAAAAUUCAAAUUAAAUUUUACUUCGUAGUUUUCUGAAACAAUUGCUUUUGAUUUUAAGCACAUAGCCAUGAUAGUUUAGGUCCAUCAAUGGUUCUGUGGUUUGUUUACAGUGUAAAUGAGUAUUAGUGUUUAUGAUUUCCCAACUCUUAUGAUUUAAAGCUUACUUUUCUUUCCUCAUUUUAUGAACCUUGACUUAAAAUUUACUCCUACACAAUAUCAUAGCCCCCUCAAUGAUGAUACUCUCUUUGCAGAUAGAAGAAUUUAAAAAAUUUGCUGCUGAACCUGAUGCAUAUAAAAAUAUCUGCUCCAAAAUUGCUCCAUCCAUAUUUGGUCAUGACGAUGUCAAAAAGGCUGUAGCCUGUCUUCUGUUUGGAGGGUCAAGAAAGGUAUACCAUUGUUUGAGUAUCCAUUUUUUUCAUUCGGGAAUAAUAAAAGUCUAUACACAGCAGCUGAUUAUAUGACCAAUUUAUUUUCAAACAGCAUUUGCCUGAUGGAGUCCGGUUAAGAGGUGACAUCAAUGUAUUGCUUCUGGGGGAUCCAUCUACAGCAAAGUCACAGGUUAGUUAUUAUAUUUUUCCACUGGAUUUGCGUUUUCUGUUUAGUUUUGGUAUUGUAUUAUUAAAAAUUGUUUGUGCCAGUGCUCUGUUGUUUUAUGGUUAAUUUUGAAGGUGGAAGAAUUUUGACAUUCCCAUUGUUAUAGUUUGUGUUUUCUAAUGAUUGUACUGUUGCCUUUUAUAGUUUCUGAAGUUUGUUGAAAAGACUGCUCCUAUUGCUGUUUAUACUUCGGGAAAAGGUUCAUCAGCUGCUGGCCUUACAGCUUCUGUAAUUCGAGAUAGCAGUACGGUAAGUUCUUUCUCUCUUAACAAUGGGAAUUUGUAUCAGAUAGCAAAUUUUCAUUAUACUGGUCCUUAGCUUAUAAUCAUAAGCUUUUUUACCUUCAACUAUCUUGUUUGAGUAGUCUCUGAUUUAUGUUUCAUGUACUUCAGCGUGAGUUUUAUCUUGAAGGAGGAGCCAUGGUCUUGGCUGAUGGAGGUGUUGUAUGCAUUGAUGAGUUUGAUAAAAUGAGACCAGAAGAUAGGUACGUAGUAUUUUGUCAAUUUGUUUCAUAAGUCGUAAUUGGAAGUUUAUGAUGAAACUUUAUAUAUUUUUUUUAUGCAGGGUUGCUAUUCAUGAAGCCAUGGAACAGCAAACCAUAUCCAUAGCCAAAGCGGGAAUAACAACUGUUCUUAAUUCACGGACUUCAGUUCUUGCUGCUGCCAACCCUCCAUCUGGUCGUUAUGAUGAUCUCAAGGUCUACUGUAAACCCUAGUUUAUCUGUUUUCAUUUUGUUGAAAAACAUUGUAGUUGGCACAAGAGACUGAUAGAAGCCUUGAAUGUUUUUGCAGACUGCACAGGAUAACAUUGACUUGCAGACUACCAUUCUUUCUCGGUUUGACUUGAUAUUUAUUGUGAAAGAUGUCAGAAUGUACAGUCAAGACAAGGUAAGGGACUAUUGUGUACUUUUUGUAAUAUAUAUUACGUUGCAACAAUUGAAUGUUCCUGGUUCAGUGACGUCUUGCCAUGUCAAAAUUUUUGUGUUGUGACGGUUAAAACAAAUAUUUUAUCAUGGAUUAUUUUUUUAAUGUUAAUCUAGUGUAAUAUUUAGCAGUUAGCAAGUGUGCGGUGUAGAAUGUCUAGUUUUGCAGAUCAUAUUCUUUACGUAAGGAUUGAUUUGUCCUCAAUUGUGGAUGAUUGGUUUUUUCAGAUAAUUGCUAAUCAUAUCAUAAAGGUCCAUGCAUCGGCUGGACGGGCAGGUGCAUUGAUGGGUGAGAGCAAACCUUCGAAAGAAGAGAAUUGGCUGAAGAGGUAUGCAAUGCUGUUGACUUUUCAAUCGGUUAUUUCAACCAUUUGUUCUUUCAAUCAUUCUAGAAAAUGAGUUUUGACCCUGUUGUUUAAAUAGGUAUUUACAAUACUGUCGAAAUGAAUGCCACCCUCGUCUCUCUGAAUCUGCAACUGCAUUAUUGCAGAAUCAUUAUGUGAAAAUAAGACAGGUACUCAUGAAUAUAUUACCAUUUAGUCUAAAUAAAUUUGUAUUGGUCUUUAAAAUUAAAUGUAGUCACUAGAAGUUGAAGACCCAUUGGGUCUAUUUUCUGUUUCUUUUGAUAUCUUUCCCGAGUUAAUAAUCAAUUGUUAAUAAAUGUUGCCAUAUUUCUCCCGUGAAUGCUGAUUUGAUGUAAUGAAUAUAAUUCACUUAUUUUGUUUUUUGAAAAAAAAUGUUUAUACAGGAUAUGAGGCAACAAGCGAAUGAAACUGGGGAAGCUGCAGCAAUACCAAUAACUGUAAGGCAGCUGGAAGCUAUUGUUAGGUUGAGCGAAGCACUUGCAAAGAUGAAACUGUAAGUAUUGCUAUUAUUCUUUAUUGCACCGGUCCCCUUUAUCCAAAACUCCCGGUAAAAUUUCAUGGAAAAAUAUGACUCAGUGCAUGAAUAGAAUAUUACUAUCUAUGGUGCAAGAAAUUUCAUAAGCAUGUCAUCUAAAUUUGAUUAGUAGUUUUAGCAAUCAGAAGACUUUUCUUCAAAAUUUAUCCUAGAAAGUUUCACAUAAAAAUAGGUCUCAUUUCUUAAAUGGCUUUCCUAAACUUUCUAUAAAUUGGUUGGAUCAAUGGGUUCCAAUUUUAUAGUAGUAUCGGCCAACAAAUUGAAGUGUUAGUGACCUAUGUUUUCGGCUGGGAAAAUAUUCCCAUGAUUCCAUCAUUACAUGUGAUGUUCCCUAACUAUGUUUGACUAGACAAAGUUAAAUUAAUAAUUUAUUUUUCUUUCUUGGAAAUUUAUUUUGUAUAUUCUUUUGAUGAUCCUUGCAUCUUUCUUUUUGACUAAAUGUACCUUGAUUAAUUCUUGCACCAGAUCUCAUCUUGCUACUGAGGAGAAUGUGCAAGAAGCAGUAAGGCUUUUCACCGUGUCCACAAUGGAUGCAGCUAAGUCCGGGAUAAACCAACAAAUAAAUCUUACACCUGAUAUGGCAAAUGAAAUAAAGGUUUGUCUUGUUAUGAGGGCCUUCUUGCUUUUUCCACCUUGCUUCAUAUCCUGAUGGAUUGGUUUAAUUGUGAGCAGCAAGCUGAAACUCAGAUAAAGAGAAGAAUUGGGAUUGGAAACCACUUAUCAGAAAGGAGGCUGGUUGAUGACCUCGGCAGAAUGGGAAUGAAUGAGUCUAUUGUAAGUAUCAAAUAUCCACUUAAAUUAAAGGACGGUGACAUAUCUAUAAACCUGAAUUUUAUUUCAUCACUUGGCUCAAAAUACUAAAUUUAAAACAAACUAAGUUUGACUCAGCGUACAUGCUUUCACCAUCAAUAACAACUGACUAGCCCAGCAGUUAUUUUCUCUGCUGCUGGUAGUUAAUAUUUUAUUUUAGGUAUUCAUUAACGUAACUACGUUUUGCAGGUGAGAAGAGCUCUUAUAAUCAUGCACCAGAGGGAUGAAAUAGAGUACAAGAGAGAAAGACGUGUUGUAUUUAGGAAAGCAUGAUAUAUCUAUUUCUCGACACGAGUUGCUAGUUGUAAGCAGAAUUCAAAGUUAUAUCAAUAUUUAGAGGAAAUUAGAAUGACGUUGAAAUUAAUUAAAUUCUAUCUGUUCUGUUUUCCAAAAGCAGUGAAUAUUUAACGUAUAACGUAAUCUAGUGAACUAGCAUACUCGCUUAUCUGGUCCGGUAUUAGUCAAGCAUAAAUUGAUGAGAUAAAUUAAUGACAAAUCUCAAAUCAAUUCGAUAUUCUUUUACUAUUUAAUUAAAUCUCCUUUUUUAAUUGGCUAAUCCAGACAUUGAAUUAAUAAAAAAUAUUUAAAAAGGCUAAAAUCAUCGUCCAGAACACGUUCAUGACAUCAAUUAUUAGAGUUUAAUUUUUAACAUUAUUAUAAAAUUAUUCAUAUUAUGUUUUCUUCGUUUUAACUACGACCUUUUCUAAUUAAUUCACAGCUAAUAAAGUCGAUUGAUUUAAUAACAUUAAAUGUACUAAUACUUUAUAUUUUUUUUAAAUGCUGAAGACUUGUCAUCUCACUCUUUCUUAUCUAUUUUUUUUAUAUAAUACGUCACAAUUAGAUCUUGAAGUGGUAGGGCUAAAUCUUCUUAAUUUUCAUGCUAGACUCAAAAGGAUCAAAUAUACAAUAUUCACGUAUAAUGUCAACAAAGGUGCUUCAAAAAAUUUCACCUUUAUGAAUUUUGAUAAAAUAAUAGUUUGGUUACUGGAAGAGCUUAAUUUUCUAAUCAUAAUCAAAUGUGGCAUUGGAAGAUAAAAAAAAAAAGUCAGAGGUUAGGAUAGAUCUUAGUUAAAUUAAUAACAGCACUGCCAUGUCCAUAAAGUAGUGAGUUAUAGAAACCAAAAUUAAGAAUUUGAUUAUUGAAAAGGGAAAAAACGGUGUUCGAUUCUUAAUAUAAACAAAAUUUGAUGAAUGUAAAAUAGGUCAAUUCAAAUAUGCAUAUGUUUUGUUAUUUUUUUUAAAGAUCUUUUACUUUUUAUGAAUCUAUAACUAUUAAUAAUGAAGACAUUUUUUUAAAAUUGCUCUUCCUUUUAUUAUAUACCUUUUGUAACAUAGCUUAUGCUUUUAUUACUUAAUAUAAAAUUUAGUAACUAAUAAUGAUUCAUUUUAUAAUCAUUCUUGAAAUAUAUAUAUAUAUAUAUAUACUUAUUAAUAAUAAGAAUAUUUUUUUAACCAUCCUUCCAUAUAUAUAUAUAUAUAUAUAUGAGGUGUCAAUGAUAGUUAAAUCAAGUUAAAAUUUAUUAGGUUUCUCUCUAAAUGAUUUUAUUGAUCCAGACGGGCUACUGUAAGCAAUUUGAAGUAAAAGCUAUUGAAAGAAAGUUGGUGUGAUCAAUGGCAUUUUAUUCAGGCAAAAAAUUCAAAUUGGCUCCAGCUGUGUUAAAAUCUUAAAAUCUGCCUGGUUAGAUUUUAAUAGUGGAGUUUGUUGCUUCUAAAAUUGAACCUUAGGUUCUUGUUAUGACCCCACAAUAUUACUUCACAAAUAUUGCUCUUCUGAUGGUUCGAUGUCACGACUUAAAAAACUGUAUCCAAAAUUAAGUGUGAUGAUAAAUAAUUUAGCAGGAGAUAUAGGGAGAAAAAAAGCAAUUCAGAUUUGGAAACCAUGUUUUAACCUCUAACUAAAUUAUAACCCAACAGCAUAACUAAGGGCAGUUCAAGUAUAUCGCGUGUACAAGUAACACAAUCCACAACUAAUUAUGAUCAGGUAAAGAUUACAAAGUAAAGGAAAUCAUGUCUAGUCAAUUAUAGCUGAUAACUGAUAAUAUAGCACAUGAAAACAAUCUAGAAUCAGAAGCUAUUUUAGCUUUAUAACAUACACAAGAGAAGUCAUAUUGAACAUCCUAGCGUGAUGUCCAGACAUAAACCUGGCCUCCACUUGUAGCUCCUACAAGCAUCCCAACCUCGUAAGAGUUUAUAGCGAAUCUGCAAGGAAUAGCAGAUAUGUGUGGGCUCUCUAAAGUCAUAGCUAUUUUCCUUUGAACGGCUGAGACCACAUCAACCCCUCUACUCAUAUUUCCAAUGAAGAGAUAUUUGUCAUCCCAACCCCAUUUCGCUCUGCAACCGCAAGAUCACGCUCACAAAAGUUAGCUGCUUUUUUUCAUAACAAAUAGGCUACUUAUACGGUAUAUCAAGUUUAAAGUGGCAUCACAAAUUCGUAUUACACACGUUUCAGUUCAUGCGGAAUAAAAAUUCCUUUCUAAGUGAGAAGAGUUGAAGCGUAUUUGAAAUGUAAAAACACACUCUAAAGAAUUUAAAAUCCCAAGGUUUGAUUUGAAAAAUCUUUUUGCAUAAUUGAAAAUGAGAAGUAUAAUAAGUCAACCUUCAGAUACUUCCCCAGAAACCAUACCUGAACGUAGAAAGCCAUCUGCCAGUCUGAUUGAAAUGAGAAAUAACAGCCGCAUCCUCGUAGUUAACUCCACUGUAAAUACCAAUGGUGUUGUCCAAGCUGCAUCAAGGGAUUAUAUUAACCUCCCAGCUAAAUCACAAUUACAUAUAGACCAGGUUCGAUACAAUUGGACAAUAAAGAAAAAAAAUAAAAGAUAAGUAGUGUACUGAAAAAUAAAAGAUUGCACAAUUAAGUUUAAGAACACCCAAGAUAACACGUUUUCAGUAUUGGAAAGUAUUUUCAGAACAAACACCAUACCUUGUAGUUGCAAGGCUACCUCCAGAAGGAGAGAAGUAAGCAGAUUGGACAGAUCUUUUGUGGGUAAAUGUCCUUAAGGCUGUGAGGUUAUUAUCAUUAAUAUAUCUCAAAUCCCAUGUGCACGCAGUUGCAUCAGAGGAACUAGUAGCUACAAUAUGAGGGUUUUCACAGUUGAAAUCUAUCGUGUUAAUCCUACUGUCAUGCAAAUCCCAGUGCGACGAUCGUUUUCCCACCCUGUUAUCCCAAAUAGACAAACCUCCAGAACCCUCGGCAAGAUAUAGGCAGCUAGUCUCAUUUGUUGGUUGAGAAAGAGCAUAUAUUUUUUCAUCACUCUCAAACACCAGAUCAAAGAUUUCCUUCUCAGCAUCCAUUAGCCGAAGAACUCCAUCAUAACAACUUGUGUAUAUCUGCAUAUAAAAUAGAUGACAGCAUCAGACAAUCCCACAAAAGACAAGAUGUAAAACGUAUGAAGUGAUUAGAAUGGGAUAGGGGUAAGAGGUGAUUCCGCAGUUAUUUUCAUCUCUGCUUUCCCUACAACCUAAAAGCCCCUAAGUAGUAUACAUAUGAAAUAAAAAAAUGCUAGAUAAACACUAUUAACUUAACAUGCAUUAUCUGUUUAUGACAAUUACCAAAAGAGUGCAUUUUCCGUACAGGUAAAUGGGCAUAUUUUACUAGCAUUAGAAGACAACUUCCCUAAGUUAAAAGAGUUUGAGUCUCAAGGCAACGAGUAACGGGCAAGAAUUAAAAAAUAAACUUCACAAAUAGACAAUAAUUGUUGCAAAUUCAGACAGAUCAAUAUCAUGGUACCUUGGAAAAACAAUGUGGUUGAAUCAAGAUCCCAGAAAUGGGAGCCUUAUGGGGAUGGUAUAAAUGAACCUCAUUAUCUCCCACAUUCCAAAACGCAAUAUUCCCAUACUUGUUCCCCGCGGCAAGCAUUCUGACACUACUGGAAGGGAAAAACGUGACAUUGGUAAUCCUUCCAGAAGUAACCCGCGCAAUAUUCUCGGGAUCCAAAGACAGAGAUUCCAAAUCAAGGGAAUCCACCACUUUUCCUUUUUGAACACUGUCAUCUUGGGCCAUACCCAUUAGCGAUUCAAUGAAGGAACUAUCAGAGUGAUCGCUUUCACGAACAUUGGCCAUGGAAAGAGGACCCAAACUUACGUCACAAGGUGGUUUUUCUUCUGGAGGAGUGGUAGGGCAUACGGAAUCUCCGUCAAGACCUUGGCAGUCUGGUGGAAUACCCCUGGUUCGGAGGGAGCGUCUGACUCGGAUAACAAUCGGGUUUUCAGUUUUAGGUUUCUUUUCCGAUUUCACGCGGUAGGAUUUGGUUUCAACUCUGGAGAUUUCCAAAAAGAUGGUAAGUUACAGAGAUUUAACAUUGAAAAGAGAAAUAAGAGACAACAGAGAGAAGAGUACCUUUGACGCUUGAAAUUGGAGAGUUGGGUGGCUUUAGAAUGGAGUUUGAGCGCUGCCAUCAUCUCAUCGUUCCGGCGAAUGUUCUCAAGUCGCUUGAGCUCGUAAUCGGUGAGUUUCUCGGAAGCCAUUGAAGAGAGAGAAAAUUAGGGAUUUAGUUCUGUUGUGUUUCUUUACUUCACUGUUGUUACUGUCUUUAUAUAUAAGAGAGGGUUUUGGGCGCCAACUCACUUGGCGGGAAAGUAUAUAAUAUAAUAAAUAAAUACUUUAUUACAUUUUUAAGUCUUUGUUAAUUCAAACCCAUUUUAUUAAAUUUGUUUCGAAUUUUAAGUAAUACUCCAAUAUGAAUCAAAUUAAUUUAUGUUAAGUGGUUUAUUCAUGAGAUAUAAUAUGUGACUCGCAUAUUUCUUCAACUUUAACUAAUCUAUGUGAACUUUUAUAUUAUUAGUAUAUUAUGUAUGAAAAUUUAAAUAUAAUUACAUUUUUUCUUAACUUUUAUUAUUAUUUAGCUUAUGUGAAUCUAUUAUAAUAAAAUAAAUUGUUCACAUAUUUUAAUAUGAGAAUAUAUGUAAUUUAAAAAAAAAUAAUUUAUAAUUUUUCUAUAUAGAAUUUUAUUAGUUUAUUAAGAGACUUAAUUAGUACGACAGAAUGAAUUUAUUCGAUUGACAUGGUAAAAGAAAAUUGAAAAUGUAGUUUUCUUUAGACCGUGAUUCUCUAAACAUUAUUUUAGAUACUGUAACUUUAAUAUAUUUUUUUUUUCAUGAGGAUGUUUAUUUAAAUCAAGUCAUUAAUAAAUAGUUUGAUUGAUAAAACUAAAGUUACAUGCGAUGGGUACUAAUCAAAUUGUCAAGAAAAGGUAUUAAUCUAAAGAGAAUUUCUUUAAAUAACUGUUUUUUUUAUACAAAUUUUUUUCUUAUUCCUUAUUUAGUAUAUUUUAUUUUAUUAUUUCAAUGAAUUAUUUAAAAAUUUAAAUUAAUAUUAAUGGACAAUUUUAUAUGCAAACUAACUCUGUCACUCUUCUCUUAAUUGCUUAUUCCAAGUCAACAAGAAAGAAAGAAAGAAAGAAAGAAAGAAAGAAAGUUCACAUACCAACUAUGAAGCUCAGAUACUCUUUUUAAAUAGCGUGUCGGUGUUGGAUACUCAUAUUGGAUACCGAUACUCGUAUGACACUGGUAGAACAGAUAUCCGUGAAGUGUCAAAUUGAAAAAGUAUUUGUUAGAUUUCUGACAAUUCUAGUACGAUUCUAACAUAAUUUUAAAAAUAAAAAACAUAUUAACUUUCUAAAAACUCAAACUUAUUGUAUAGUGACUAAAUUAUAAACCAUUUUAGGAACUAAAUAAAUUUUUGGUUUCUAAAUUAGUUUCAAUUAUUGUUAAAUGGUUUCUAAAUCGGUAUCUAAUUAGCAACCAAGGUUUUUGCUACCAAAUUUAGAAACUAAAUAAUUGGUAGUUCAAACUUUGGUUGCUAAUUAGAUACCAAUUUAUAAACUAUUUAACAAUAAUAGAGACUAAUUUAGAAACAAUUUUUUUUUAGUUUCUAAUAUGGUCUCUAAUUAGUUACUAUUGCAACUAAUUAUUUUGGUUUUUAAAAAUUGAUUUCUAUUUCAUGAUUUUCUUGUAGUGUAUGUUUUUCAUAGAGUGUAGAAAAAACAAUUUAAUAUAAAAAAUUGACUCAUAAAUAUUAUAAGUAGUUAUAAUAUUUUCAAGAAAAUAGAUUAUAUUACAUAAGAAUUAAUAAGAAUUUGUUUGAUCUCUUCUGUUAGUCAACAUUCAUCAUAUCUUUUAUGUAUUGCAACUACAAAAAUAUAUACGUAAUUCAAUUAUAAUUUACAAUAUAAUUUAGUGUUAGUAAAAGAAAAAUUAUUUUUCAAGGAAGGUGAAUUAGAAUUUUAGAUUCUCAGAUAAAGCAACUUUAUGGUAGAAAUAAAAUAUAGUCAACUUUUUAAGAUUUCAUAUGUGAUAAUUCCAGUUCAAAGAUGGAAGAGAAGAUAAGAUAAUUACAUCCUAAUUUUUUCUAAAUAAUAUAAUUUUUUAUGAUACAUUUUUGUUGUUGUUGAGAAUAAUUGUAAGUCUGUAACCCCUUCCCCACCUCUACUUAUUUUCUUUUUUCUUCUUUUCCUUCUUUCUACUUUUCUUUUAUUCACACUCCAUUUAUUUCAAAUUUUGAUCACACCCCAAAUAGCUAAAGAGUUAGGAAUUAUUUUUAUCCAAUUAGAUUUUCAAAAUAGAGUAAGUUUUUAUUUACUCUAAAUAUUCUCUAUUUUUUUUUUCAUCUUUUUAUAAUUUUGACAUCCAUCUUGGUAGAAUUAGUUGAGAAAAAGUGAUCCUCAACUUGAUUAACCUUAUAUUAAAAUUUAAUUAAGUUUGGAUAUUUUGCUUUAGGUCUUUAAAUUUUUAGUGGUUCUUUUGCUUGAGCAAAAAUUUUUCUUGAAAUAAGGAAUUUGACAUAAGAAAAAUGAAUUAUAUUUUUGUAGAACCUUAGCAGGAAUAAUCUAAAUUAAAGAGUGAUGUGAUCACUUGAUGUUCUAUUUGAUGUUGUGUUGAACAUAUUUUUAAUGUUUGAGUUUGAAUUGGUUUUAAGGUACAACUUUAAAAAUGAAUUUGUAAUAUUGCAAUAGUUGAUUUUUUUUGAUAUUUUUCUCAAGCAAGCCACAAAAAUAACCAUUUACUCAAACUUGUUUUUUAGCACUAUUUUUGCUCAAGCAGAUAAUUUUUUGCUAAAGAAUCCAAUUCAUUGAUAAGACAAGAAGAAAAAAAAAUGAAAAGAAAGAAGUUUUUUUGAAUAUUUUAGCUUGAGCAGGAAUGGAUUAAAUAUCCUUGAUGUAUAGAUUUAUGUGUGGUUUACAUAGUUUUUGAAUAUGUUUAUUGAUUACAAUAAAUUUUGUAAUAAGUGUAUAGUAAAUUUUGGGAGUGUUAUGUUUAUGGUAUUAGAGUUGUUCAUUCUUAGGAUAAUAUGAGGAUAGUGGAUAGGGAUGGCAAUGUAGGUCCGUCUGCUUCGCAUUUUGCCCAUGAAAUGCAAGUCAUGUAGGCCCGUCUCGCGUAAAAUAUGCAGGUUGCUUUUAUUGGCUCGCCUCGCAUGCAAGCUAGCCCAUGAGUCGAUCCACAUAAGAUUUUAUUUUUAAUUAAUGAAAAAUAAUUAAAUAAAUUUUUUGAAUAAAAUUUUGUUUUGUUUUUUAAGUUAAUUUGUUUUUCUUAUUUAGAUGAAUUAGGUAAAUAGUCUCAUAAUAUUAUUCUCAUGACACUUGUAAUAAAAUAUAAAUAAAAAAAAAUAUAAUAAUGUUUUGAUUUUCAAUGAAGUUUGAAUUUUGAUCAUACUAAUAAAUUGACUAAUAAAUAUUUUUUAGAAUAUAUAUUUUUUAAAAGGUAAUACAUGUAGAUAGAUGAUUACUAUUCUAAUUUGAAAAUUGAUAAAAAAUAAUAUACAUAUAUAAUAAUAUUAUAUUUAAAUUUUCUUAUAAAAAGACUAAGAUCUGACUAGUGCAUUUAAUAUUUGAUGAAUAUUGAAAUCUAAACAAUUUAUUCAUUUUAAAAAGAAAGAAAAAUUAUUAUCAAAUUUCGUGAGGGUGUUGUGAAUUAGGGAUUGAUGAUAGUUUCUUCCUGCUCCUCCAUGCCUUUCUUCUUGCAUCCCAUACCUAAGAAAAUACUCUAGUUAUCCUUUGACCUUUUUUGUUGAAUGUUUUAUCUUUAAUUUAAGAAUGUGAAAUUUAGAGACUUCCAAGGUUAUAGAAUCUAGAAGUUAAAAUUUGUAUUUUAGAUUGUACAAUAUUAUAGAUUGUACAAUUCAUAAUAAAAACUUGUAUUACGGAUUAUAGAAUUUGGAAUGGAUAGUUUUUUAAUUUUUGAGAAUAUGAGACUACAAGAAAAAAAAAUAUGGGGGUGCAAAAAAAGUCUAAAUUUUUAAAAUAUGUGGGUUAUGAGCCAGUCUGCCCCGUCUUGCACUUGACCUGUGUGGACUGCGAGUUAUGAGCCUAAGCAAGUUAGCAGGUUGAAGUAGGUCGUCCGCAUUGCGGGUUAUGGGCUAACCUGCCUUUCUUUGUCAUUCCUAGUAGUGGGUUAUUUUUGCAUGUGCAGAUAUUUGUUUAUGUUUACUUUAAAGGUAACUAAAAAAUUUUAGUUUAAAUCAAGAUAAUUUUUUUAUCUUAAUUUUAAAAGUUAAUUACAUUUAAAUAUAUACAAGAUUAUUUUUAUAUAGUGUGUAAUUUGAUAUUGAACAUAUAUUAGUGUAAUAUGUUUUAGUGUAUUAUAUAUUUGUAAAUUUUGAAGUUGUCUUUUAGAUUAAUAAUCUUACAAUAACAAUUGUUUUGGUGUAACAUUUUUAAGUGAAUUUGAGAUAUCUACCUUAAAGGAUCCAAGUAUAAUCUAUUGGAUGAAUUUAAUUUAUAUUAAUUACAAUGAUUUUAAUUUGUGAUUAAUAGAAAGUGAUAUUAUCAAAUUAGAAGAAUAUUCGAAUAAUAGUGAAAGUAGAUACGCAACAUAUAAUCAAUAUACAUGCUUCAAGAAGAAAUGUUAGAGUCACCUUUCAAGAUAGAAGUAAAAAUUUGAACUUAAUGCUUAAAUGAGACUAGUGUCAAUAAAAUGACUCAUAUUUGUUGAAGCAAGUGGUGUUCAAGCUUUGAAGAAUCCAAAAUCCUUUGAAGGUUGAUGAUGGCUGGCUGUGCUUGCCGUUGUUGUGUUGUCUUUUAGAUAGGAUAUGUGGUAGAUUUUAAUAUGUAAUCCACUCUUGAUUGAAUCCAAAGCAUAAGCAAUCUCAAUCUUUUAAAAGAAAAGUGUUUUUCAAACUAAGUGAAAAACAACCUGUUGUUUUGUCGAAACAACCGAUUGUUUUAUACUUAGGUGUUUUUAGAAAAGGUUGAAAACUAUUUUUAUAGUUGACUUGCUGUCAAAACCAAAACAACCGAUUGAUUCGAGGAAACAACCGAUUGUUUGUUUUGGUACCAUAACAGAAAAAUGGUUUGUGCUUUGACUGAGCAUUAAAUGUUUUUCCAACUGUUUACGCUCCAGUUUUUAAUGUUUUGACCAAUCUUUAAAUGCAAUUAAUAGUUUGUUAAGAUUUGAUAACAAACAAACAACUUUGUUUUACAAAUAGAAAAACAUAUUUGGGUUUUUCACAAUUAACUGAUUUUGAAAGACUUGAGAUUGCUUAGAGAUUGAGUUUGAUCAAAGUGUGAGCUAUGAUUUUUUGCUUGUAUUGAUUUCAGAUUUGUUCUGUAACAAGUGUAAUCCUUGUAUCUGUUGAAAGAAACCUUGUGUGUUUGUUGAGAAGUGUUGUGUGUUCUUGAGGGGAUCAAGAUCAACAUUCUUAGUGUUGGUGUGUUGACCAAGAGAAGUGUGUGUCUUGAGGGGAUCAAGGUCACUUCUUUGGUUGUGGUGUAAGUAAUCUAGGUUUGAUUGCUUAGUGGAAUUCCUCAGUGGUUUCUGAGAAGACUGGAUGUAGCUCUGGAUUUAGAGUGAAUCAGUAUAAAUCUCUGUAUGCAUUUUCUCUAUCCCUUAACUCUUUAAAUUCAGUUUUUAUAUUUGUAAACUGUUAUAAACAACCGAUUGUUUCUGCGAAACAACCGAUUGUUUUUCUGGUGCUGGUUUUUUUGCUUUGUGUUUUGGCAAACUGAUUUCCUUAUCAAUUGUUUCUCGAAGUAAUUUCAUUAUUGGCUUAAAAGUUUGUGAAAACCCUCUUUAAACCAUUCACUCCCUCUAGUUUAAAGUCAUAACAAUAUUGAGUCGUAAAUUUAAAAGUAAAUUAGAGACUUGAAUAGAGAUAGCACUUUAUGUAUCCAUGAGGAGCAUAAAUGUUGUCAGCAAAUAAGAAAGUUGAGGGAUCUAAAUUAUGUAUAGAUUGUCAAAAGUUAAAAGAUGUUGAAAAAUGAUAGUUAGAUACAUAAAGUUGCAUGAAACAUCAACGUUUUCCAUAUAAAUAUUAAACUUGGGUGUCUACAAUUUAAGUAAAAAAUAAAAAUGUAUAUAAUUGUUAUAAAUUUAUAUACAAUUGUUAUCAAUAUGUGACUAUUUGAUGUUAUGAGAGUUCUAAUUCAAAAAAUUCAUGAAUAUGAUAUUUCAUACCUUCUUGGGUAAGUUUAUUGUAAUUUAUAUAUAGAUGAUAUGUCUAUUUAUGCUGCACUUUGAAAUACAUAGUUGAUGUAGAUGACAUGUAUGUUUAUCUUCUACUUUGGAGGUGCAUGAGGAACACCUAGGGGUCCACUAAAAUACAAUGAUUUAGCUUUAUGCAUGAAUAGAUUAAGGCAUGAUUUUCUAAUAUUGAAUUAGUAAUAAACUAGUUUAACAAUAAAGGUAACUUUUGACACACAAAACUUUUUAAAUGUAAUGUAUCAUAUCAUAGGUUGAGUAAUGUGUCAAAACAAGAAAUGAAGAAUAUUUAUAAGAAUCUAAAAAUCCAUUAGACAGAUUGCUUUACUUGUGACAUAACGAUGGUAGUAGUGGCACUGCCUUGAAGACCUAAAGGCAUUGCUUUUAUGUUGCUCAAUUUGACAUGUUCAAUAUCGUAAUGACCUUAAAAGGAUUGUAUUUAAAGUUGAUGUAUCAUCUAAUAAAGGUGAAUCUUGUUAAAGACGCAUAGCAUAAGAAAACAAUCCAAUUACAUAAUUAUCAAACUCCAAGUCAACUUGCUAACUCAUCUAAGUUUAAGAGUCUACUCCUGGGUCAACUCGUGAACAAACUCGUUCUUUAGCAAACUCGAGAAUUAGUAGAAUCAGUCAAACCUUAUCUCAAGUUGAAUUUUAGAUUUAUUUUGUUUUAUACCUGUUUCCGUUUGUGUUUCAUUUAAGGUUUUCAUUUUCUUUCUCGCCAUCGCUCAAGGUCGCUCAUCGCCUCGUUGUUUCUCACCGUCAUGUAAUAGUCGCCUUGUUGUCAUUUCACAUCAGGUUGCCUUGCAUAGCACUGUCCUCGUGUUCUAGCUUCGUUUUCAGUUAGAUACUCUGGUUUUGGGUCGCAACUAGGUUUCACAAUUUGUUUAAGGUUAGGGUGAAUGGAGAAUUUGGGGCAAGGUUUGGAUUCACAAUUUUGUUUGGGUGAAUGGUGAAUGGUGAAUGGAGAACAAGAAAUGAGAAUGACAUGUGUGAUUUCGGGAUGAAGUUUCAUACAUAAAUUAAAAAUGCAAUUUGGGAGUUCCACAAGGAGGUUUCGCGAAUAAAGUAAUUUUUGUAUUUUUUUAGUGUGGUUGAAAAAUUAAGUUAAUAUAAUUACUUUUUUAAUGAAUGUGUUCAACAGACAAAGUUUACUGAUGAUGUCGGGAAAUGGUUGCAAUUUUAGGAGUGUGUGUUGGUACAUCUUUAUCACUACCACUUAGAAAUAAAAAUAAUAGAAUAGAUGUUGGAUGGAACCACAAAGAUAUGUUUUGGAUAACAAUAAAAAAGUGAGAUGUAACUAUUAUUCAAAAAGACAUUUAAUAAAGACAUUUUUUAGAUUCAAACAUCAUCUUGUUGGGACUAUAUAUGAUUCUAAGUCUUUGUUGGGACUAUAUAUGAUUCUAAGUCAUGUGUUUCAAUACCAAAAGAAGUUAAAGUCUUAAUAAACUUGGUGUAUGAACUUUUUUAUUUCAAUAAUGUGAAAUUGGUAUCAUGUGUAUCGAACAAGAUGUUUUGAUGUCUCUAAAUCCAUGAAAAAAGUUUAAGGACCUUGUUGCUGGAUGUAUGUAUUGUCUAGUAAUUUUUGACUUGUGAGAUUAUUUAAGUUCAUUUGAAUUUUUAUCUUUUUGAAAAAAUUUGAAUCUCUAUCCUUUACAAAUGGGUUUUCUAAAACACUAUAAAAUUUCAAAUUUAGUGAUUUUUAAAAUGGUUUUUUAUUUAACUAUUUUUUAUUCUUGAUUUAAUUGCUUUGACCACUUCUUGAGGUUAUAUAAAAACGGUUUAACACUUCAAUCUAAAAACUAAGAAAGAGAGAUUAUAAAAAACGAUUAAUCAGAAAACAUCUUAGGUAUAUAUAAAAAAGGAUGAUCAAUAUUGAUAGCUGAGAUUACACAGUGAAUGGAAAAUUUGACUAUGAUGAUGUAAUUAAGAUUUUAAUUUUGAUCUUUAUCUUAUCUUUAACUCCAAAUAUUGUACACAGUUCAAUGUUUAGUGAUCAAGUGAUUCAUAAAUAUAGUUAGCAAUAAUAUUGGAGAGUUAUCUCAUUCUCAUAAUUAGAGCUCUCAUAUUGGAUAUAGAACUAAAUAUAACACUCAUAUUGUACCUGGUUUUAUAUUAAUUUAAUUCUAAUACUCCACUUUAUUAAUUUAAUUCUUUGUCAAUAAAAACAAUAAAUAAAUAAAAUAUUGGAGAUAGAACUAAAUAUAGCACUCAUAUUGGAAGAUAGUUGAGAUCAUCUUCAGAUGAGGGUGGGUGAUAUUCAAACUAGAAGGAAGGUGUCCUAUACAAAUAGCUUUAUACUAGAAGGUAAUAUGAUAAGUAUGAGUGUAUAUUAAGUACUUGUUAGUGAUUACAAUAAAGUUCUAAUUUAUGAAUCAAAUAUUUAAUUAGUUAUCGAAGUGGAUAAAAGUAAACUAAUUGUAGAAAGUAAAACCUGAAUGAAUGUUAUAGAAUUUCUACAAUGAGAAUCUUUGUUAAGAAAGGACUUCUAGAUUAUUUUUCGAACCCGAUAUCGGUCCGGGCUUGCUUGAUUCGAUAUCGGUCUGGUCUGAACGACUAGACAUCGACCUGAGCCUGGACGACUUGACAUCGACCUGGACCUGGACGAUUUUACAUCGACCCAGACCCGCUUAACUCAACAUCAACUCGAGCUCGCUUGGCUCAAUAACGACCUGGGCCAGCUCGACUCAACAUCAUCCCUAGCCCGAUCAUCUAGAUAUCGAUCCAAGCCUGCUCGACUCAUUAUUGAACCCAAAAGACUCAGCUCGACAUUGUCCUGGACCGACUCGAUGAUAAGUGUCUAACUUCAGUAAUAUUUCAUAUUAAAAUAUACACACUUAUAAGGAUUUAUUGCUAAUAUACAUAUAAAAUAAUCCCUAAUUUAUGAAUUUAUACCUUUUUACAUUUUUUAUGAUCUUUAUUUGAAUAAGAGUAUUUUAUUCCCAAAUUUGGUGUUAAUUGCAGAUUUCUAAGGAAGAUUGGAGAUUUGGAUUAAAAAUGAAUGAUUUGAGCUAAAAAGAUAACGAUAGAAGGUCCCAGAAUGGUAAAAGAUGCAAAGAAAGAUUGAGUCUUUUUUAUGUUUUAUCAUUUAGCCCAUUAGCGCGACACAAUAAACAACAUAACCCUAGAAAACUAGGAUAAAUAGAGGGCUAGAGGCUCAACCUUAGUGUGCUAGAUUGAGAGGAAAACACCAUAGAGUGAAUUGUAACCCAAUUGGGAGAAUGGAAGGUACUAGAAGUAUGCGUAGCUAAUUCUACCCUUUGGGAUUGGGAGUAAUCUGCUCAAACUCUUAUGUAUUGAGGUGAUAUUUUAUAUAUUAAUAUUCAGUUCUUGGUUGAUUAUUGAUAUUGUUGUUUUACUUUUAACUUUCCGUGACAAAUUAAGAAUCUUAAAUCUGACCGGGAGGUAUUUUUAGGGUUCGGACCUAAACAAUAAUACUUAACAUAUUUGAGUGCUAGGAAUAGACUUGAAAUGUUAAUUGCUAUUAAACGUUUGAGUUUCGUUCUAAGUUGUUCUUAUAAUUAUGCGAGGGAUCGAUAGUUAGGAGACAUUCUUAAGGAUUUUAUAUGCGAAGAAUCGAUAUAAAUGAUUUUUAUACGGGCAUCAAUUUCAAUCAAAGAACUUAAUAUUAACAUGCUAAUCAAAAUACUUGAGAGUGAGAGAGAUGAAACUAAUCCUUAUUUUUUCAAUUGAAACAACUAAUUCUUUGUCUGUUUUCUUAUUGAUCAGUGCCAACACAAUUAAUUCAAAACUCUUUUAAUUGUUUCUGUUUUUAUAUUUAGCGAUUAUUGUACUGUUCCUUGUGGGAUCGAUAUCCGUCCUUAGGGACAAUUAUUACUUUUGACAAACGCGAUGCACUUGUCGUAAAAAGUCAUCAAGUUUUUGGCGCCGUUGCUAGGGAACAGGUUUGAUUUGUUGGGUCAACUCAAUAUCGACCACUCAACUCGACUCGACUUUGGCCCAAAAUGACUUGACUCGACUUUGACCCAUACAAACUCAAUUCGACUUGGACCCAGACGACUCAGCUCGACGUGGACUUUGGCCAACUUUGCUCAACCUAGGUCCAAAUUGUUUUGGCUCAAUCAGGAUCGGGGCCAAGUCAAAAUCCAACCAAAAUGUAAUUUGGAUAAUCCAAAAAUGUAUUCAAUCUAUAUCUAAUCCAUAUCCAAUUAAAUGGAUUGGAUUUAAAAUCCAAAAAUAUGGAUUUAGAUUUGAGAUAAAUCCAUUUAAAUGGAUUAAAACUAAUAUAGAUUUAAAUAAUUAUGGAUUGGAUUUUGUAAUUUGGAUUUUUUCUCCACCGUUAAUAAUCAAAUGAUCAUAUUUACAAAAAAAAAUAUUAUGUAAUUCAAUGCAAAAAUUAAAAACAGCAAUAAAAACUACAAGUAUACUCCUAGAAAACAUUUGACAAAGCAUCACAUAUUUCAAACUUGUACAUACAGUUGGUACAAUUUGUAAUCCAAAAAUCUCACGCCUACCCUGUCAAAACAACAAUUAAGGGAGAAGAUAGCUAGACUAAAACGAGCAUAUAUCAACACAGUGAUAUUUUUUCAAACUUGUACAUACUCCGAAUGAAAACUAAUAAAAGUUGGAACCUCAUAAGAAAUUAGGUUAUCAUGAACUCUCGUUUCAAGUUGAGCUAGCAUAUUCGUGCCGAAACUAGCGCUUAAACAAAUCCUAUUUCAAAAGGAUUGUUGUUAACAAAGGAUGGAUUUACUUGUUGUUAACAAAAUCAUAUAAAAAAACUACUAUAGACUAGUAAAGGGUAACUACAAUGAUCAUAAUGUUCGGAAUCAACUAUCUCACUUGCUUAGACACACACAACUACUGUCACAUGUGCCUUCCCACUAUUCAACCAAUAAGAGAUACCAUAACCAAAUCAAGGAUAUAAAAAAAAUAAUGAAUGGAAAUGUAAGUCCAAUAAUGUACCGUAACUGGGUAACAAACAUCCAUAAAGUCUUCACUGCAACAGAUUAUCAAAUCAUCAGGAUCGAAGGCCUAACAACACAAAUGCCAAAGCCUCUCAAACUCAUAUAGUGCCUGUUUACAAGAACUCCCAAUCCACAAGUUUAGCCAUCAAAGAAAAUAAUGAAUAUGCAAAGAUAAUAAAAUCUAAAGUUUCACCAGAUCUCCAUCCACUGUUUCCAAAACCUGCCCCCACAUAUCUAUUGCCUUACUGUAAAAGUUUAAGAAGCCUGGCAAUUCAAGAAAACCAAGUUCAGAAUGGCAAAAUCAGCAAGACUGAGAAAUAUAGUCGGCAAAAAGAUGGUGUCUGCUUCCACAUGGUAUCAUAAAUUGAGACCCCAACCCGAAAGAAAUAUAUACAGCUCUCAUGUUGGAAUAGAGAGGCAUCAUCCGUUACCAUAGCCUCGAGGCGUUGCUCAUAGCACACGAAGAUUACAAAGAGAACAAUCCAAAUACUUUUGUUUCUCUUCUUUAUCGUAUUAGAGAUAAAACUAAAUAGAACUCUCAUGAACUUUUGUUUCUCAUUCUCAUAUUGGAGAUAGAACCAAAUGGAGCUCUCAUAUACUGUUGUUUCUCAUCUUCUCAUUAUUGAGGACAGAACCGAAUCAUAGCGCAAGAAGAUUACGACAAAACUUUCCAAAUAUUGUUGUUUCUCAUUUUCUCAUUCGCAUAUUGGGAGAGAACAAAAUCAUAGUGCAAGAAGAUUACGACAAAACAUUCCAAAUAAUCUUGUUUCUCUUUCUCAUUUUCUUAUUCUCAUAUAUGGAGAACUGAAUCAUAGCACAGGAAGAUUGCAAGAAAACAUUCCAAUUACUGUUGUUUCUCAUUCUCAAAUUAGAGAGAUAAAUGGAAAUAAAACUAAAUAGAGCUCUCAAUUUUCUCAUUCUCACAUUGGAGAUAGAACUAAAUACAACUCUAAUGUUGGAGAUCAUUCACAUUUUGGAAGAUAGAAGAGAUCAUCAUAUGUCAUAUUCAGAAUGUAAUCCAAAACUACUAAAAACAAUAGAAUGCAAGACUCUUGAUAAUUUAGUAAAUCAAGUAAUAACUAAGAAAAUGACCUUUCAAAUUUGCUACACCUAAGCAAAUCCAAAAUUAAUUCAGUACUAUAAAACUAAAAAUCAAUAAUUCUGUACUUAAUUUCAAUUGCACCAUGUAAAAGGGUCAAAUUUCACUAUGAAUCCAGGACUCGUAAAAGCUAUGAGAAGCCUAAAUUACUUAAAAAUGGACAACUAAAAAAAAAGAGUAAAAAUUGCGAAAAAAAUGCAUAUGGGGUAAUAGAGAAAGAAGCAAGAGUUCACUGACAAGUGGCAUGGCUGAACAGGACAAGAAACAUAAACUUUUAAUGGCCAUGAUAUAUUUUAUUUAUCUUUCUUUCACUAUUAAUUCAGUACUUCAUAUUAAGAAGUUAGAAAUUUUGCCAGACAAAUCCUCCCCAAAUUACACAACCUCUAAACCCACAAGAACUGCCAGAGACCAGUCAAACUACAAGGUUAGCAAUGAAUCCAACCAAAACUUAGAAUCCAAACAAGAAGUCAGUCACAAAUAAAGACACAAGAAAUGUAAGGGUAACAAAACCUAAAGCUUCACAAAUCCCCUGGCAAGUGUUUCCACAUCCUACCUCAUAUCAGUCUGGAAAAAUAUGCUCAAUCUACGAAGUUUCAAAUAAAGGAGAGACAUCUUACUGAGCAUUUUAUUAUUACUAACCUAUGAUUUUCUGAAAAAGAAUCAACAUAUUCACAGAUCAAACAGCUAGAUUUGACAUAUUUCAAUAAUCAGACAAUAUUCAAAUUUAUGAUUAAAAUUUAAUCCUCAACCAGAAUCCCUGCUGAAAAGGAACUAACACAAAUUUACAUAUGAUAGACUCUGUCAUCAAAUAAAUAACUACAUCCAAACUCAAGUAGGCAUCUGUCAUCAAAGAGUAUGGACAAACCUACAGAAUCAAGCAUCUCCUUCCAGUAUUUAGAUAUCCUACCUCACAUCCGUUGCUUUUUUUCGUGUACACAGUACACUAGCAGAUUUUAAUCCUCAACCAGUCUUACAUGCUAAAAAGGAAUUAAGGAUACUCACAUCUGUCCUACCUAACAUCUGUUGCAUGUUUGUCCUGUACUCCCCAAGAAUUCAGGAAGGCUACAACGGCUCAUAAAGUUGAAGUAUAGAGACAAUAAGACAUUCAAAACAUGCAACAGAUGUUAGGUGGUCCUUUGGACAGGUUGUGUAUGGUGCAAGGUGAUGAAUUUGUGCUGAAUUAUGAUCUGCAACUUUAACCCAAAGUUGUGUGACCCUUAAGUCAAUUCUAUUGGGAGGCUGAUAUUACUCUGGUGGGAAGUACGGGCCAAUCUCGUAACAAUAAGCGGAGUCUCUAGUAGACUUAGGCAGGGUAUUAUGGGACUGUAACAGAGGUCAUGCAAUCAAGGAGCAACAGCUACAAGGUGCUGUACUGUGGCAAUAAAAGAAGUGUUAUAGGGGAGGAUGGAGCGCGGAACAAGGCAUCUAGCAAGGAACGAGUGUCAAACCCCUGUAUUGAGCAUGGUGGUUGGGUGCUGAGGAGUUCGGUGUGCAGAUGCUGUCAUGUGCAACACUCUGCUGCUUGGUAUGCUGGAAUUGGAUGUGGGGAUGUGCUUAUUUCACUCCAUUCAGAUUUGAAGCCACUGUUUUUGUGCUUUUCUGAGUGCUAGUGGUUCUGAUUGACCUAAGGCAUGUGCUGGUUUCUAGUAGCCUGCAGGUUGUUUUACUGCAUCAAUGAUUGUGUGAGUCUAGUAGGUGCUCUAUGGUGAUCAAGAACCAAAAGCUUCUGUUGUAUGGAGUUCUUGACUAUUGUAUACGGGUUGGGACACCCCAGAAGUGUCCCAUUUUAAUUUUAUUUAUUCUUUGCUGAUUAAAAAAAAAAGACAUUCAAAACAAAGAGAGACAUCAUAAAAACAAAUGACAAUUCAAUCCUUAUGCUUCGUGAUCAAAUCUCAAGAAAUCAAAUAGAAAGGAAACUCAUGAAAUUAGGUUAUCCUGAAUUAUUGGUCGUUCUAAACACUUCCAGAUUUUAAUCCUCAACCAUUCUUGAGGUCUCCACAUGCUAAAAAGGAAUGAACACAAACAAAUCAACACCUAAAACGGAAUGAAAACAAGCAAAUCAACAUCUAGACGUAGCAAAAAAGGCUCCAUACAUUUAAAAAAAAGAAAGUUGUUUAAUAGCAAGUCGAAGGGAUGAGACCAAGCCUAUGAGAAACACAAAUAACUAGGAAAUGAUGAAAAUGAAAGAAAAAAAAUAAAACAUUAACAUUUAGUGGGGAUUUCAUCUUAAAAGAGUAGACUCCAUACAUUUAAAAGGAAGAAGGUUAUUACCGGACAAAAUCAUUAUUAGACUUAAUUAGACUUAAUUACAGGAAUAUAAUCACUAUUAAUGAGUCUAUAAUUAGACUUAAUUAUAGGAAUAUAAUCACUAUUAAUGGGUCUAUAAUUAGUCUUAAUUACAGAUGUUAUGUUAGAAAAAGAAUCUGUACGGUUCUAAUGCUAUGGUUAUAUAUAUGUAUCAUUGCUAUAGAUGAGAGGCAGAUUGAAUAAAACAUAAAAUAUUCUUUCAUGGUAUCAGAGCACAAAACUCUGAUACCCGACAAACACAAAGCAAAGGCAACGGUGUACAACCAUGGCAGCUGCACCAGAAAAGAAUAAUGCCAACAAAGCAGAGCACGAAGGAGGAGGUGCUAAGAAGACCUACUCGCCAUAUGAUCUCAACGCGAGUGACAAUCCCGGAAACAUAAUCACGCAAGUCCAAUUGCGCGGAGAAAAUUACGACGAAUGGGCAAGAACAGUAAAGAUCUCGCUUCGUGCCCGGAGAAAAUGGGGCUUCAUUGAUGGAACACAUAUCCAACCAGAGGAUGAGGCACCCGACCUUGAAGAUUGGUGGACCGUGCAGUCCAUGAUUGUCUCUUGGAUUCUAAACACCAUUGAACCAAGCUUACGAUCCACAGUAGCAUAUGCUGAGACUGCACAUAACUUAUGGGAAGACAUUAAAGAAAGAUUCUCGGUCGUGAAUGGACCUAGAAUUCAACAACUAAGGUCGGACUUGUCAAGAUGCAAGCAGGAGGGAAUGNNNNNNNNNNNNNNNNNNNNNNNNNNNNNNNNNNNNNNNNNNNNNNNNNNNNNNNNNNNNNNNNNNNNNNNNNNNNNNNNNNNNNNNNNNNNNNNNNNNNGAUUGGUGCUCAGUUGGAAAAACGAAGGGAGGAGGAGAAGGUUCAUCAACUCCUUAUGGGGUUGGAUGACGCAAGCUACGGGACAGUAAGAUCAAACAUUCUGGCCUCAGACCCAUUGUCGUCUCUGAACUGCGUAUAUGCUAUGUUGGUACAAGAAGAAAGAGUGAAAAUGAUGGCCAAAACAACGGAAGAAAGGGGGUUGGUCGUGGGUCUCGCGAUGCAGGCCAACUACAAAGAAAAAGGGCGUGGAGAUAUGGUAGAAAAAUUAAUGACGUGCAGUCAUUGCGGUAAAAAUGGUCACGACAUGAAGGGAUGCUUCCAAUUGAUCGGAUAUCCCGAAUGGUGGGGUGACAGACCUAAAAGNNNNNNNNNNNNNNNNNNNNNNNNNNNNNNNNNNNNNNNNNNNNNNNNNNNNNNNNNNNNNNNNNNNNNNNNNNNNNNNNNNNNNNNNNNNNNNNNNNNNNNNNNNNNNNNNNNNNNNNNNNNNNNNNNNNNNNNNNNNNNNNNNNNNNNNNNNNNNNNNNNNNNNNNNNNNNNNAAACAAAAAUCAAAUGAAUCAGAGAAAAUGACUGGUAAGAGCAUUUGGGAUUUGUGGAUUAUUGAUAGUGGGGCAUCAAACCAUAUGACCGGGUCACUGGAAAAUUUGAGUGAAAAGGAAACUAUACAAGGGUGCCCCGUGGGGUUACCCGAUGGUGAACGCGUUCUAGCUUGCGAACAGGGAACAGUGACUCUUGAAGAAGGACUUGAAUUGAAAAAUGUCCUUUAUGUUCCCAAAUUAAAAUGCAAUUUACUUUCAGUACCUCAAUUGACGGAUGAAGAAAAUUGUGUUGUAACAUUCACUGAUAAAUUGUGUAUUAUACAGGACCGCACUUCGAGGACGCUGAUUGGAGCAGGUGAACGGAAAGAUGGGCUUUAUUGGUAUCGUGGGGUACGAAAGACUCAAGCAUGUCAUGUCAAGAUGGAAAAUCAACUAGCACUUUGGCACCAAAGAUUAGGACAUCCGUCAUUUAAGAUUGUGCAAAUGCUUCCUGAUAUAAGUGGGAAAUGUACUCGUGAUGAGUUGAAUAAAGUUUGUGAAGUUUGUGAAAAAUCGAAACAAACGAGAGAUAAGUUUUUUUAAGUGCGCAUCAAACUUGAAAAUUUUUGAUUUAAUUCAUUGUGACUUAUGGGGUCCUUAUAAAACUCCUUCAUCCUGUGGUGCUUCAUAUUUUUUGACAAUUGUGGAUGAUUGUUCACGAGCAGUUUGGAUCUAUUUGUUAAAAGAAAAAACAGAGGUAUCAGUGACUUUGAAAAUUUUUUUCACACUCGUUGAGAGGCAAUACAACAAAUGUGUUAAAAUGGUUCGCUCUGACAAUGGAACUGAAUUCAUGUGUCUAAGACAAUAUUUCAUUCAACAAGGUAUCCUUCACCAAACUUCCUGUGUCGGGACCCCGCGACAAAAUGGACGCGUCGAACGCAAGCAUUGGCAUAUUCUGAAUGUUGCUCGGUCAUUACGGUUUCAAGGCAAUCUUCCCAUUAAAUUUUGGGGGAAUGCGUUUUGACUGCAGGCUACUUAAUCAAUCUCACACCAUCCUCCAUUCUAAAAGGAAAACCCCCUUAUGAAGUGAUCCAUGGAUGUGUACCCAGUUACGCGCACUUACGAGUAUUUGGUUCAUUGUGUUAUGCUCAUAAUCAAAAUAGACAGCGGGAUAAAUUUGAUAGUCGUAGCCGAAAAUGUGUGUUUGUCGGGUAUCCAUUUGGCCAAAAAGGAUGGAAAUUAUUUGAUUUGGAAACAGAAACUUUCUUUGUCUCUCGUGAUGUACAUUUUUUCGAAAAUAAAUUUCCAUAUUUUGAAGCCAAAAAGAUGGACACUGCACCACCAUUGCAAAACCCAAUUAUUGCCAACUCUUUAGAAACUGGAACGGACCCACAUUUUCUUCAUGAAGUUGCCUCCUCAAACCUAGAUGAAUGCAUCGUCAACCAACCCAUUGCAUCUCCCAUCCCAGCCAAGGAGGAUGCUACCCUCACAGAUGACUUUGACCACACUAUCAACGACUCCGAUUCGUGCAUAGAAGCCUCGACGCUACCCGCGGAUCCACCGCCGCGUCCGACGGAGACGGCGCCGUCGGUUUCUUCACCACCGUUGACGGCCGUGGUUCCCCUUGGGCGAGGGCAUCGCGCGAAGCUGCCUUCCGUACGGUUACGCGAUUUUGUCGCAGCCACCACGAUACCGUCAAGCCCCUCUGUUCUGUCACCUCCUUCAACAGAAUCCUCAGGUGUUUCGUAUGCUAUACAUGAUUUUGUGAAUUGUGAUUCCUUUUCUAAACAUCAUCAAAGUUUUCUUGCCUCUUUACACACCGAGCAGGAACCCCUGUUCUUUUCUCAAGCGGUCCGAGAACCCCGGUGGCGUGAUGCUAUGGCACAGGAGAUUCAUGCUCUCAAACGACUUAGAUAUCAUUACUGAAGUCGUUUACAGUGCCUGUCAUAAACAGGUAAGCAUUCCCAGUCCACAAGUUUAUCCGUGAAUAAUAGCAGCAAAGAAAAUAAUAAACACAGAAUAAAACCUACAACACCAAUUCAUUUUCUCCCAUGAUGAAUUAUGCAAGAACAAGUUCAAAAAUUCAUUUGUCGAUGCAGGAAACAAACAAAAUAAAAAGUUCUUGAAUCAAAGAAUGGAGGCAAAUAAUCCUGAGCUCUUGCUAAUUACACUACUAAAAUGAAAGGAAUAACUUCAAGAUCCAUAUUUUCAAUACUGCUCCACCUAAGAAAUUUUUUUUUUUUUUUCAGAACUUCAAUACAAAAGAUGAAUAAUCUUGAAACACAAAUUAGGCAAGGACAUUGAUGCUUUGCAAGAACCAAAUUCAAAAUUCAUUUGUCAAUGAAGGAAACUAUUAAAGACAAAAUAAAGUUGUUCUAAAAAAAUUGAAACCAAAUAGUUCUGAGCUCUUGCUAAUUACCACACAUCCCAGUAAAAAAAAAUAAUUCAUCAAAACUAUAACUAGUAAUAAAGGACUAUUAGAUAAAUUAAAAAAUUAAGAGAGACACGGUCACUCAUAACAUACCUCAUGAGAUGCAGUACGGUAAGUGAUUUUCACACUACAGAGAAGCAAAUUACAAUUCAACUAUUAUGCCGCAUAACAUACUCCAUGAGAUGCAGGACAUUAAACAAUUCAAAAUUAAAUCCUUAUGUUUACUGCAUAAGAACAAUCACUAUUUAAUGUUCAGUGAUCAAGUAUAGAGAAAUUAGAAUAUCCAGAUCUACAACCAUUCUUGUUCCUAAACUGCCAAAAGAAAUCUCAGAGACUCAUGGCUUGCCGAAAAGGAAUGAACACGAAUACCAAAUUUUAUUGAAGGAAACGAAAAACCUGAACAGUCCAAAAAUUGAAGGAAACAAUGACCGCUCUUAUUAAGAGAAAGUAUAGAAACUUGAUAAGACGAAUAUACCCAACUAAUCAAAACACCACUGCAGAUAAACACAUCAUACUUCAAUCCUUAUGUUCGGUCAUCAAUACCAGAAAAAAAAUAAUAAAAGGAAAACUCAAAAAGGACUUCCGUUAUGCUAAGCCCUUGGCUGAUGGACUUUUCAUAUCAUCCAUCGGCAAAAGAAUAUCACUGAACCAACCAUAAGCUGAAAAGGUGCAAAGAAAUUUAAGCGAAAGGUUAAAAACUCGUCAUCAUCAACUAGAGAAUUCAUGUAAAUGAAUAUACUAAUUAUUCUUGAGUAAAAGCACAUUGAUCCAUAAUUUACAAUUGUGAGCGAGUUAUAACCUCCCACAGAGCAACCCAGGAACCUUUCUCUUAGAGGGCUUUUAAGAUUUGUCAUACAACAAUAUGAUAAAUGAGUGUAUACAAAGCAAUUAAUUAAUGAUUACCAUAACACAAUAUUUUAUAAAAUAGAAUCACAAUCAACAUUAAAAGAAAUCAUUCACAUCAUCAACAUUCUAAUGAAAAAAAAUAUUUAAUUAACAAUCAUAGGCAAUAAAAAAAACUAAACUAAAUUGUCAAAGCAAAAUACAACUACUAUAAAAGUAAAAAAGAAAAAUAUUAGAGAAUCAUUGGCCAACAAAGGACUUCUAGAUUAUUUUUCCAACAACAAUAACUAUUAAAGGUAAUAUAACAACCAUGAAUAAUUAAAUAACUACCAAGAAUAAUUUUAUAAUCAAAUGAUCACAUUAAUAAAGCAAUUAAGUAAUUCAAUGAAAGAUAUAUAUACCUAGAAUAUCUGACAAACACAUAAUCUAUUUCAAACCUGUACACACAUUGUUUGUAGUUGGACAAUUCCUAAUCCAAAAACCCAAACUCUACCCAAACCCUACCCUGUCAAAACAACAACCAAGAAUUCAGGGGAAAUCAUAAGAGAUCAUGAAAUCAUGUUGUUGGUACUUGAACAAUUACAAAUCGAAAACCUUCUCUGUCAAAACAAUAGAUCCAAAAAAAAUAUCUUUUGAUGAUAGUAAAAAUACUAAAGGCUUUUAAAGAGAAGUCCACAUUUCUAGAAUGAGCUCUUACUGGAUCAAAUGAAUAAAAAAUAAUGUUAGCCCUCUAAUCUUCUGCAAAAAUGAAUGGAGAAUUGAUCCCUUUUGCAAAUAAAUAAACUUGAACAAUUCACAGUGCAACACACAGUUAUGAUAAUAGGUAUCACCUUUGAAACUACUGAUCCUCUGAAACACUUACCAAGAGCCAUAAAACCUUCCAGACAACAUGAUCCAUUAGACGUAGCAUGAAACAUAAUGCAAACAUCACUGCAGAGAAACAAAUGGCAACGGAAAAUCCUUAUAUUUGGUGAUCAAAUCUGAAAAUAUCAAAUAGAGAGGAAAUCCUAAACCAAAUUUUUUAUUUUGAUAGAUCUUUGUCAUCACAUAAUAAACUGCAUUCAAAUAGCUAGUCACGAAUUAACACAAACUAAGGCUUCAAUUGAUCCCCAUGUUUCUACAUGUCCUCACACAUCCAUUGCUUGUCUUACCUGUAAAGAGCAAAAAUUCAAGAAAACUAAAAACACUUGUUCCAGGGGAGGAAUUUUAGAAAAUAUUAGACGAAUUCUUAAACUCAGAAACCAACUCAUUAAAGGCUCGAUGAGAUCCAAACAUUGUUUGAAUACAAUCAUAAACCACUGUAGAAAAACAAAUCACAAUUCAAUCCUAAUAUUGGUAAUCAAGUCCUUAGAAGUUAAAUAAAAGGUGAAACCUCAUAUAGAAGAAAUUAGGCUAUUAUGAGUUGUUGUGCUCAAACAAAUCCUAUUCCAAAAAGCAUUGUUGCUAAAAAAACCCAAAUAAAACUGGAUAUACUUGUACAUCGUAUAAAAAAACUACCAUGCAAUAUUAAAGAGACUCUCUAAAUUUCAGAGAAACAAAGUUGUCUCAUACUACUCAAACUAUAGAAACUUAAUGCCUUGAGAUUGGUUCAGUUUUUGAAAUGCAAACAAGGAAAUCCAAUACUGCCGACAAAACAGACAUUACUGAAAAUUGAAACCAAACCAAAACCCACAGAAGAAGAUAGCAAGUCGAGAAUGAUCAGAUAAAACCAAGGAAGCCGUAGUCUCCUAAUAAUAAGUUUAUGACACAAAAUUUCCAAAAACAUCCUUGCAUACAAACUUAAGAUCGGUCAUAGUUCUGUAUGCUGAAAAGGGAUUAAUGCAACACCUGGAUUGGGUAGAGAAAUAGAAUAACAAAGAAAAUUACUUUAUCAAGAGUUGUUCGUCGUUCUGCCUGGAAUUAACAAAUUCACCUCCAAAGCAUCAGAAAUUAACAAAUUCACCUCCAAAACUUCAUUAUCUUUCUCGCAUACAAUUCCUGACCAAAUAGAACAAAUAUGAAACAUUCACCUCCAAAACUCCAUUAUCUUUCUCGCAUACAAUUCCUGUCCAAAUAGAACAAAUAAGAAAAAAAUGAACGGUUUGGAUAACUAAUAAAAGAAGUCCAAUUAUCUAAUGUCAGGCAUAACGUUGGACUUUCAAGUCCAAGUGGUUACAUAAAUAUUUUGAAAACACUCAACUCAAUAAACAAUAAAGGAAAAAUAGAAAAAAAAUCUAUAACUGGUUGAUUAGACAUGUUAAUCGUCCCACUAUAUUCCAUCACUAGCUGAGUUAAUAAACGGAAAGGGAAACCUCAAAUAAAGACUCAAUGUGUUGCAAACAAAUAAAUGCAAAUUUAAAAAAUCAAGGAACGAGAAACACAUAUGGAGAUUGUUGAAACAAAAGUGAAGCAUUUAAACAAUUUCAAUUUCAGGAUCAUUCUUAUACUAAUUUCAAAAAUUUCAGCGUAAGAGACAUUGAUGUCACUCAUAGUAAGAGUCAUUAUUGUCUAGGCUCACAAGAGAUUACAUGCAAAAUUUCCAAACAAGUUCACAACUCAACCCAUAUGUUUGGGAUCAAGAAUAAUGAAUCAAAGGGUUAUGGAAAACUAUUAAAAGAACAAAAGACCUAUAUUAUAGAAUUAUGCAGAGAAGUCAUCAAAAUGAAAUAGUAGAACUUGUUUCAUAAUCAAGAGAAUUAUGUUAUAAUUAAGUGCAUAUUCCAUUUUAUAUUUAUUAGGACAAAUUUGUUAGUGAUUUGAUUUUAUUCCAUUAUUUUUUACUUAUUUGUAAGAUAUCUCAGAAAUAUAUUUCAUCUAUUUCUUUCCACUUGGUAUCAGAGCUCCUGAUCUGGGAGACUCUGCUUCUGCAAUUUUUAUUUUUUUUAGCAGCCUUCAUUGCUGUAAUCAUUUUCCUUGACAGCCUUCAAUACUGUAAUAUUUUCCUUGACAGCCUUCAUUGCUAUAAUCAUUUUCCUUGGCAGCCUUCAUUGCUGCAAUUUUUAUUUUUUUUAAAGAGCCUUGAUUGCUGCAACUUUCUAUUUUCCUUAUCUUUUCUCCAUUGACCACCACCACCACCAUUGACCGCCGCCGACCACCACCUCCGUCGCUUGCCGGAAACUGCACCGCUCGCCGGAACUGCCACUACUCGCUGGAAACUGCCGCCGGCCACCGGAAACCGCUACCGGAAAAUUUUUUCGGCAGAUUUUUUUUGUGAACAAGAUCAAAUUUUGCCAAUCUGAAAAACUCAGUUGGUUUUGAGCUCUCAUGGACUCCCUUAGUAAGCCAUCUAGCUAUUGUUCCUUUACUAUGAGUGGUAAGAGUUCUGGUUUUUUAUCCUUUAAUGCUACUGAAAAUAUCUGGAUUAUAGACUCUGGUGCUACUGAUCAUAUGACCCCUCAUUCCUCUUCUUUUUCAUCCUACACUGCUUCAUCUGGUAACCCAUAUAUUACUGUUGCUAUCCACUACCCCCAUUAAUGGUCGUGGUAACAUUCACCUUCAACCUUCAUUUCCUUUAAAAAAUGUGCUUCAUGUUCCCAAACUAUCCAAUAACCUCUUGUCUAUUCAAAAGAUUACCCAAAAUUUAAAUUGUGCAGUGGUAUUUUUCCCUUCCCAUUGUGUUUUUCAGGAUCUUGCCACGGAGAAGACUAUUGGAAUUGCUAAAGAGCAAGGCAGGUUAUAUUAUUUACAGCAUGAAGAAAGUAAAAAGUGUGCUAGACUACAGGCACACACUUCUAAUCUUCAGCAAGGUCGUGAAUCUUGGUCAUCCUCUCAGAUAUGGCUUCAACACAGACGUCUUGGUCAUCCUCCAUUUAGUACCCUAAAGUCCUUAUUUCAUGUUUUAUUUACAAAAAGUGUCUGCUGAGUCAUUUCAUUGUGAUGUUUGUCAGUUUGCUAAACACCAUCGGACAAUUUUUCCUCCCAAUGGUAAUAAAAGUUCUAAACCUUUUGAUCUUAUUCAUUCAUAUGUAUGGGGACCUUCACCUAUUCCUAAUAUCUCGAGUGCAAAAUGGUUUGUUU
rnacentral:lncRNA from 1 species